rnacentral:rRNA from 1 species
UUAGUAGAUGGGAAACAGGUCAAUAUUCCUGUACCGAUGUGUAGUGCGAUGUGGGGACGGAAAGGUUAACUCAGCCAACUGUUGGAUAUGUUGGUUCAAGCUUGUAGUCGUGCCUGGUAGGCAAAUCCGCCGGGCUUAGAUGAGGAGUGAUAACGAGGCUGCUUGCAGCCGAAGUGAGUGAUACCCUGCUUCCAGGAAAAGCCACUAAGCUUCAGCUAUACACCACCGUACCGCAAACCGACACUGGUGCGCGAGAUGAGUAUUCUAAGGCGCUUGAGAGAACUCAGGAGAAGGAGCUCGGCAAAUUGACACCGUAACUUCGGAAGAAGGUGUGCCUUUAGUAGGUGAAGGGAUUUACUCCUGGAGCCCAAUGAGGUUGCAAAAAAUCGUGGCUGCGACUGUUUAUUAAAAACACAGCACUCUGCAAACACGAAAGUGGACGUAUAGGGUGUGACGCCUGCCCGGUGCUGGAAGAUUAAAUGAUGGGGUGCAAGCUCUUGAUUGAAGUCCCAGUAAACGGCGGCCGUAACUAUAACGGUCCUAAGGUAGCGAAAUUCCUUGUCGGGUAAGUUCCGACCUGCACGAAUGGCGUAACGAUGGCCACACUGUCUCCUCCUGAGACUCAGCGAAGUUGAAAUGUUUGUGAUGAUGCAAUCUCCCCGCGGAAAGACGGAAAGACCCCAUGAACCUUUACUGUAGCUUUGUAUUGGACUUUGAACAGAUCUGUGUAGGAUAGGUGGGAGGCUUUGAAGUAGGGUCGCUAGAUCUUAUGGAGCCAACGUUGAAAUACCACCCUGGUGUGUUUGAGGUUCUAACCUAGGUCCAUUAUCUGGAUCGGGGACAGUGCAUGGUAGGCAGUUUGACUGGGGCGGUCUCCUCCCAAAGCGUAACGGAGGAGUUCGAAGGUACGCUAGUUACGGUCGGACAUCGUGACGAUAGUGCAAUGGCAUAAGCGUGCUUAACUGCGAGACUGACAAGUCGAGCAGAUGCGAAAGCAGGACAUAGUGAUCCGGUGGUUCUGUAUGGAAGGGCCAUCGCUCAACGGAUAAAAGGUACUCUGGGGAUAACAGGCUGAUACCGCCCAAGAGUUCAUAUCGACGGCGGUGUUUGGCACCUCGAUGUCGGCUCAUCUCAUCCUGGGGCUGUAGCCGGUCCCAAGGGUAUGGCUGUUCGCCAUUUAAAGAGGUACGUGAGCUGGGUUUAAAACGUCGUGAGACAGUUUGGUCCCUAUCUUCCGUGGGCGCUGCAGAUUUGAGGAAGCCUGCUCCUAGUACGAGAGGACCGGAGUGGACACACCUCUGGUGUAUCGGUUGUCACGCCAGUGGCAUUGCCGAGUAGCUAAGUGUGGAAGAGAUAACCGCUGAAAGCAUCUAAGCGGGAAACUCGUUUCAAGAUGAGAUCUGCCGGGGCCUUGAGCCCCCUAAAGAGUCGUUCAAGACCAGGACGUUGAUAGGUCGGGUGUGGAAGCGCAGUAAUGCGUUAAGCUAACCGAUACUAAUUGCUCGUGCGGCUUGACCCC